rnacentral:lncRNA from 1 species
UUUUUUUUGUUUUUUUUGGCUGCACCUGUGGUGUACAGAAGUUCCCAGGCUAGGGGUCCAGUCGGAGCUGCAGGUGCCGACCUAUGCCACAGCCACAGCAACGUGGGAUCUGAGCCGAGUCCACAACCUAUGUGUAGCUCACAGCAACGCCGGGUCCUUAACCCACUGAGUGAGGCCAGGGAGCGAACCCGCAUCCUGCAGAGCCACCAUGGGCACUCCAAUACAUGGUAUUUUCAAUCUGACUAGCACUCUCCACAGGGUGCCUGGACCAGUUAUCCCUAAAUCCUGAGCCUCCCCACCCAUGCCCCCUGGACAUCCCAGGCAGAGGAAGCAAUUACUUCCCUUCCUGUUCAUCUCAGUUACAUCGAGUUUGUGUUCUAUGCAACUGAAACUGUUCCAACCAUUUAGAAAUGAUGGGAGAGACCAGGAGAGCCUAUGAGAUGUCUCUGCGAUUCAGGGAACACAUGGGGCAGGGGUUGUGUUUCAUUUUCUCCAACAGUGAAAACUGAGCCUGAACCAUGAGGGGAAAUGUUAAGCAUCUACAGCAACCAAAUGACCUUGAACUUUAGAAGCCAUUCCCAAUUCUCUUUAAACAGUGGGUCUCCCUGGGGUUCCACUGAAGCCAGCCUGCAUCUUACAAAAGACAUGAUGGAUCCUAUGUUCGGUACUAGUUUUUUCCCCACUGCAAAUAGAGGCAAUUCCAGAAUUGCUUCCAGUUUGGGGGACUGUUUAUUUUGUAGACUUUCCCAACUGGGAACUCACGGAUAGGGGUGUGUGUGGGAGGGUGGAGAGCCCAUGCACGUCUAGGAAGCCGGAGUGGACCUCCAGCCUUCCGAGUCCUGGCUGGGGCUCUCUGGGAAAACCAUUGUGAUCUAUCUGAGCCUCAGUUUCCUCAUUUGCACGUUGGAGGCAAUAUUGAAAUACUGAUGUCAUCUGAGGGUCGGAGGAGAUAAGACGUGCUGUAGACGCAGCAGGAUUUCAGCCCGUGCUUUGCCUCUGGGCAAUGCCUGCUGGGUUUGUUUUCUCCAACAAUGAUCACACUUUACACCUUGGAGUUUCACUCACCUCGAGUCCCUUGUUUUCCUUCACCGUGCUUUCCUUUGGGUUCAGGGGCCCUCCUGCCUGCUAGGGGACGUGGCUGGGAUGGGGGGACAUUGGAACUGACAUUUUAAAAUCACUGAUCUCUGCCGGGCUUCGUGCACACUUAACUCUGUUUAAUGAUCUCAACAAUGCUUCAAGGCUGGGUGUGCUAUUUCUGUUUUCAGACUGGAAACUGGGUUUCUACGAGGUUGGUUGACUUGCUGUGGGUCAUGAAAUGCAGGAGCCCGGAGUCAAAGCCAAGCUGGAAGGGCACGAAACCCCGCCUUCUAGCUGGGAGUGAGGGGUGCAUAUGGUGUUGGCUCCUCCUUAUGGCUUCAGCCAAGGACAGCCCUGACCUGGCGGGCAGUGGGGGUGAAGCCUCUUCCCUCUCUCUCUCUCUCUGGCCCCACUGGCUUCUGGCAUCCUCCAGCCAGUGCCCCAUGCGGGGGUUGCAUAGACCUUCCUCCUUCUUCCUGCCUCCACGAUGCCCGCCUGUGCCUCCCCUGAGAGAGUGGGACUGGCCCCGUCUCUGGCUAAUUAAGGCUUCCUUUUCUUGACUUAAACACCAGAAAAGCCACCUCCUUCCUCUUCCUCCCUCCUCUCAGGAAGGCUGCUUUAAGGCGGCUGAGCUGACAGCUCAGAAGAGAAGGCAACUCAGGCAGCAGCACACUUCCUCCGAAGCUCCCCGAGGGAACCCGGGGCAGGGGAGCUGUCUACACCUGCAAGAACACCAGAUACUCUCAAUUGUGUGUGUGUGUGUGUGCGUUUAAGAAAAGGGUUUAAACAAGCCCCCACAUAUCCUUUUUUUUCUUCAAUGGAAUAAAAUUAUAAAUGGAUCUACUUCCCCGGGGGAAUAUUUUGGUGGCAUCUUUCCUGCACUACUCAUAUUAGUACCAUUUUUCUCGACUGGGAAGAUGCCUCCACCAUAUCCAUAUAUGAAAUGGAUAUAUGAAAUUAAACGGGCCGCUUUUAUAUACAUGUAUAUUUCAUAUAUGUGUAUAAUCUCCCCUGCUGUGCAGUAAGUUUUGCGCCAGAUAUCAGGGACAUGAAGGUGAAUAUGAUCCAGUUCCUGUCUUUAAGGAGGUCACAGCUCGCGGAGAGGUGAGAUGGGAGAAAAGAGGUAAACGAGAAUAAAUGAAGAAUCCAGGAGGGUCAGAGCCCGGAUGUGCUGGGGGGCUGUCACCUCGCCUUGGAAGGGAACCUGGGAAGAAGCAGAGUGUAAGCUCAAAGCGCAUGACAAGCAGGAAGGAAGGUAGAGGAGAGGGGGCGGAAGAGCAAACAGCUUUUUCUUGCAGAAGGAACAGCCGGUCAAAGCUCAGCGUGGAGAAAGAGCAUUGCUUUGGGGAGACAUGAAAACGGCUUGGUCGGUUCCCAGUGCGUUCCUCUUUCUAAAUAGGGAUGAGGCAGACCCCGGGGACUUUGUGGUAAAGUCAGGAGAGGGGGUAACCAUCAACCAGCAAAUGUACGGCAUUCAGCAACUUACCAACACUCUCACCGCUGAACCCACGCGGCUCUGGCAUCAGCAAUGGUCCAGUGAAAUAUGUGUUCUGAUCUUGUGACGAUUCCUGUUUGACACUUGGGAAAACCAAGGCUUAGGAGACAACCCUGUCCCUUCUGAGCUUAAAAGUGAGUGGCCUCCUACUUUACAUUAGUUUUUUAUUGCUGCAUCACCAAUCAGCAUACACGGGGCACUUUAAACAACACACCCUGACUAUCCCAUAGCUUUUGUAGGUCAGGAAUCUGGGGCAG